UACGUAGGGUGCAAGCGUUAAUCGGAAUUACUGGGCGUAAAGCGUGCGCAGGCGGUUGUGCAAGACAGAUGUGAAAUCCCCGGGCUCAACCUGGGAACUGCAUUUGUGACUGCACGGCUAGAGUGUGUCAGAGGGGGGUAGAAUUCCACGUGUAGCAGUGAAAUGCGUAGAUAUGUGGAGGAACACCGAUGGCGAAGGCAGCCCCCUGGGCUAACACUGACGCUCAUGCACGAAAGCGUGGGGAGCAAACAGG
rnacentral:rRNA from 1 species